rnacentral:rRNA from 1 species
UGGGGAAUAUUGCACAAUGGGCGAAAGCCUGAUGCAGCAACGCCGCGUGAGCGAAGAAGGCCUUCGGGUCGUAAAGCUCUGUCCUCAAGGAAGAUAAUGACGGUACUUGAGGAGGAAGCCCCGGCUAACUACGUGCCAGCAGCCGCGGUAAUACGUAGGGGGCAAGCGUUAUCCGGAUUUACUGGGCGUAAAGGGUGCGCAGGCGGUCUUACAAGUCAGGAGUGAAAGGCUACGGCUCAACCGUAGUAAGCUCUUGAAACUGUUAGACUUGAGUGCAGGAGAGGAGAGUGGAAUUCCUAGUGUAGCGGUGAAAUGCGUAGAUAUUAGGAGGAACACCAGUUGCGAAGGCGGCUCUCUGGACUGUAACUGACGCUGAGGCACGAAAGCGUGGGGAGCAAACA